rnacentral:rRNA from 1 species
UACGUAGGGUGCAAGCGUUAAUCGGAAUUACUGGGCGUAAAGCGUGCGCAGGCGGUUUGUUAAGUCUGUUGUGAAAUCCCCGAGCUCAACUUGGGAAUUGCAAUGGAUACUGGCAGGCUCGAGUAUGGUAGAGGAAGGUGGAAUUCCCGGUGUAGCAGUGAAAUGCGUAGAGAUCGGGAGGAACACCAGUGGCGAAGGCGGCCUUCUGGACCAAUACUGACGCUCAUGCACGAAAGCGUGGGGAGCAAACAGG